AUUGAACGCUGGCGGCAUGCCUUACACAUGCAAGUCGAACGGUAACAGGUCUUCGGAUGCUGACGAGUGGCGGACGGGUGAGUAAUACAUCGGAACGUGCCCGAUCGUGGGGGAUAACGGAGCGAAAGCUUUGCUAAUACCGCAUACGAUCUACGGAUGAAAGCAGGGGACCGCAAGGCCUUGCGCGGACGGAGCGGCCGAUGGCAGAUUAGGUAGUUGGUGGGAUAAAAGCUUACCAAGCCGACGAUCUGUAGCUGGUCUGAGAGGACGACCAGCCACACGGGGACUGAGACACGGCCCAGACUCCUACGGGAGGCAGCAGUGGGGAAUUUUGGACAAUGGGCGAAAGCCUGAUCCAGCCAUGCCGCGUGCAGGAUGAAGGCCUUCGGGUUGUAAACUGCUUUUGUACGGAACGAAAAGACUCUUUCUAAUAAAGAGGGUCCAUGACGGUACCGUAAGAAUAAGCACCGGCUAACUACGUG
rnacentral:rRNA from 1 species